rnacentral:rRNA from 1 species
UUCCUCUUUUCAUCACCUGUGGAAAAUUGGAGAGAUUUGAAGAGGAGCCUUACCCCAUUCUAAGGAUAGGGUUCCAGUUCUAUGCUUUCUAUACAAACUCUAUGAAUGUCUAUGAAUGACUUUUUAUUGGGACUUGACUGGACCUUUAAAACCUUUAUACGACUUUCUGGAACGGAUCUCUUGGAUCUAGCAUCGAUAAAGAACGCAGCGAAGUGCAAUAAGUAAUGUGAAUUGCACAAUUCACUGUAUCAUCCACUCUUUGAACGCACCUUGCGCCCUUGGGUAUUCCGAGGGGCAUGCCUGUUUGAGUGUCAUUAAAUUCUCAACUUCGAAAGCUUUUUUUGGCUUUCUGAAGCUUGUAUGUGAAUGCUUGCUGGCGUUUCAGAUGUUUCAGCUCCUUGAAAAUGCAUUAGGGGACCCGCUUGAGUACAGCCCUUAAAGUGAUAGUCAAUCUGCGCUACGUGGGUUUGGAUACUCGCUCAUUUUACGCGGCGUAUUUAUCCAUUACAUUCACGGAUUGAAGAGGUGCAUACGUAUGAUAUGCUCUUUCCGUAAGAGGUGACCUGCGGAAGGAUCAUGAUUCAAACCUGCUUUUGUAGACAAUGUUGCUAGAAAACUCAUUUGACCUCAAAUCACGUAGGACUACCCGCUGAAUGCUUAAGCAUAUCAAUAAGCAGAGGAU